rnacentral:lncRNA from 1 species
GGUGGAGAACCGUAGAUGUAUACUGGAGGGGGAGGUGAUUUUACGGGUGGGGGAGGUGAGCUGUAGUAGUAUGGAGGAGGAGGAGACUUCACAGGUGGAGGAGGAGAGUGGUAGUAGUAGGGAGGUGGUGGUGAUGGAGAUGGGGGUGGUGGUGAUUUGUAGUAGUAUGGUGGAGGAGGAGACGGUGAUGGUGGUGGUGGGGACUUGUAGUAGUAUGGUGGAGGAGGAGAUGGCGAUGGUGGUGGAGGAGACUUGUAGUAGUAGGGAGGUGGAGGUGACGGGGAUGGUGGUGGUGGUGAUUUGUAGUAGUAUGGAGGUGGGGGUGAUGGCGAUGGUGGUGGAGGAGACUUGUAGUAGUAUGGUGGUGGGGUGGUGGUGGGGAUUUGUAGUAGUAUGGUGGAGGAGGAGAUGGGGAAGGUGGUGGUGGGGAUUUGUAGUAGUAUGGUGGAGGAGGAGAUGGGGAAGGUGGUGGUGGAGACUUGUAGUAGUAUGGUGGAGGAGGAGAUGGAGAUGGUGGGGGUGGUGAUUUGUAGUAGUAGGGAGGUGGAGGUGAUGGGGAUGGUGGUGGUGGGGAUUUGUAGUAGUAUGGUGGAGGAGGAGAUGGGGAAGGUGGUGGUGGGGAUUUGUAGUAGUAUGGUGGAGGAGGAGAUGGGGAAGGUGGUGGUGGGGAUUUGUAGUAGUAUGGUGGAGGAGGAGAUGGGGAAGGUGGUGGUGGGGAUUUGUAGUAGUAUGGUGGAGGAGGAGAUGGGGAAGGUGGUGGUGGGGAUUUGUAGUAGUAUGGUGGAGGAGGAGAUGGGGAAGGUGGUGGUGGGGAUUUGUAGUAGUAUGGUGGAGGAGGAGAUGGCGAUGGUGGUGGAGGAGACUUGUAGUAGUAAGGAGGUGGAGGUGAUGGAGAUGGUGGUGGAGGAGAUUUGUAGUAGUAUGGAGGUGGCGGUGAUGGAGAUGGUGGUGGAGGAGAUUUGUAAUAGUAUGGUGGUGGAGGAGAUGGGUCUGGUGGUGGUGGAGACUUGUAGUAGUAUGGUGGAGGAGGAGAUGGUGAUGGUGGAGGAGGAGACUUGUAAUAGUAGGGAGGUGGGGGUGAUGGAGAUGGUGGUGGAGGAGACUUGUAAUAGUAUGGUGGAGGAGGAGAUGGCGAUGGUGGUGGUGGAGACUUGUAAUAGUAGGGAGGUGGAGGUGAUGGUGAUGGUGGUGGAGGAGAUUUGUAGUAGUAUGGAGGUGGUGGUGAUGGAGAUGGUGGUGGAGGAGACUUGUAAUAGUAUGGUGGUGGUGGUGGGGACUUGUAGACGUACUUAGGUGAUGGUGGUGGUGGGGACUUGUAGACGUACUUAGGUGAGGGAGGUGGUGGAGACUUGUACACGUAUUUAGGUGAUGGAGGAGGUGGUGAUUUGUACACGUACUUCGGUGAUGGAGGUGGUGGUGACUUGUACACGUAUUUAGGUGAUGGAGGAGGUGGUGAUUUGUACACGUACUUCGGUGAUGGAGGUGGUGGUGACUUGUACACGUAUUUAGGUGAUGGAGGAGGUGGUGACUUGUACACGUACUUUGGUGAUGGAGGCGGUGGUGACUUGUAUACGUAUUUAGGUGAUGGAGGAGGUGGUGACUUGUACACGUACUUUGGUGAUGGAGGUGGUGGUGAUUUGUACACGUAUUUAGGUGACGGAGGAGGUGGUGACUUGUACACGUACUUUGGUGAUGGAGGUGGUGGUGACUUGUACACGUACUUUGGUGAUGGAGGUGGUGGUGACUUGUACACGUACUUUGGUGAUGGAGGUGGUGGUGACUUGUACACGUACUUGGGGGAUGGAGGAGGUGGGGACUUGUACACGUAUUUUGGUGAUGGUGGUGGAGGAGAUUUGUAGUAGUAAGGAGUUGGGGUUGGCUUAGGCUUCAUGCAUUCUUCAUAUGGAGUUUUUGGAGCAUAAGCAAAUGGUUUAGCAGAGAGCACAACUUCAUAAUGAUUCUUUGACUUCACUUUGAGGUUAGCACCCUUGAUGCCCCAAUGAAGAUCUGUGGGGAUGUUACAUUUUGAAUCCUUUGGUGCUUUGUGGAGUUUAGCCUUGCAUGCAUCUGCUCCAUAUUUGGCAUAAUCAAAUCCUUCAACAGUGAUG